rnacentral:lncRNA from 1 species
AUCACAAACCAGCUGUAAACUUCCAGAUUCUAUACACUGGCCCUUACCCCAGGCAGCCGAGCGAUGACCUUCCCCAGACAGUGAGCUGGCUGGCCAGGUCCGCCAACGAAGGACUCUGGGAAAAUCACAGGCAUUGAUCCUCUUUCAUAACUGGAAGCCUCACACAAAAGCUCUUUGUUUUGGAGAUCAAACUGAGGUCAUCUGACUUGUUGAUCAGUGCCUUAGCGGCUAAGUCUAAUCCCCCAAAUACAUGACUGACAGUACUACGCUAAUGAAAUCAACCUUCUGUAACCUCAGCAAAGUCAAGGCUAGUUUGCCAGUCCUCAGAAGCAAGGUGUGACAACAUAACUUUAACCCCAAUAACUGAAUCACAAAUUUGAGGCCAGCCUAGGCUGCAUAGCAAGACCCAA